UACGAAGGGGGCUAGCGUUGCUCGGAAUCACUGGGCGUAAAGGGUGCGUAGGCGGGUCUUUAAGUCAGGGGUGAAAUCCUGGAGCUCAACUCCAGAACUGCCUUUGAUACUGAAGAUCUUGAGUUCGGGAGAGGUGAGUGGAACUGCGAGUGUAGAGGUGAAAUUCGUAGAUAUUCGCAAGAACACCAGUGGCGAAGGCGGCUCACUGGACCGGUUCUGACGCUGAUGCGCGAAAGCGUGGGGAGCAAACGGG
rnacentral:rRNA from 1 species